rnacentral:lncRNA from 1 species
UUUAUAGUUCUAUGUGUAUUUUAAACAUAUGGGUAGACAACAAAAAUGACAUAUAGUGACACUUUUAAUUAUGAGUAUAAUUAAGUGUAAUGACAUAUAGCGACACUUUUAAAUGCCAGCAUAAUUAAGCUUAAAAAAGUGCCGUUGACUAACUUCUUUUUUUUUUUUUGAGAGAUAGGUAGUGUGCUACCCGUUUCGUUUAUUUCAUUUAGAAAUAAACUUAGCUGAAAAUAUGAAUCAAGUAGGAUUUGAACUCGGAACCUCGGAUACCAACCACCAAACUCUUUGCCACUUGCGCUAGAGACAGUCGGCAUUGACGUCUAACUUAUUGACACGUUUUAAAAGUGUGUUUGAAGGCUCCUUAAUUGUCCCCAAUAUUCCUAACACUUCAACACAUGGGCCCUCAAUGUGUUAUAUAUUUUUGUGCGAAUCCCGCCAUUUAUAGUUUUAUGUGCAUUUUAAACAUAUGGAUAGAUAACAGAAAUGAUAUAUAAUAACACUUUCAAAUAUCAAUAUAAUUAAGCUUAAAAGAGAGUUGUUGACUGGCUUAUUAACAAUUUUUUUUUGAGAGAUAGGUAGCACAUUACCCGUUUCGUUUAUUUCAUCUAGAAAUAAACUUAACUAAAAAUAUGAAUAAACUAGGAUUCGAACUUGAAACCUCAGGUACCAACAACCAAGCCCUUUGCCACUUGCACUAGGGACGGUCGGCUUAUUAUAUAUUAACACUUUUUAAAAGUGCUUUUUGAAGGCUUGUCCCCAGUGUUGCCACUUAAUCUUAUACUUAAUGACAAUUAAGCAAAAAUGUAUUAAAAUAUGUCUCUAUAAUCCAAUUCUAUUGUAGUACCUAGCUAAUAUAUAUAUAACCCUCUUAGUUUGUACGUUCUCUUUGUACUUCAUUUUUCAAGCUGCUUCUCAAGCGUGUGCGCAUUCAUUGCAUAUUCUUUAUCCUUUCCAUCUUAAUGAUCUUGUGAGUCAUCUCUUUAGGUUCCCCUUAAAAAACAACAAAGGGAAAUAGACAAAAAAACAUUCUUAUU